rnacentral:rRNA from 1 species
GAUGAACGCUGGCGGCGUGCCUAAUACAUGCAAGUUGAGCGCACGGGCGUGGUGCUUGUUCCUAUGGGAUUAGCGGCGGACGGGUGAGUAACACGUGGGUAAUCUGCCUUUGAGCCUGGGACAACUUUUGGAAACCAGUGCUAAUACCGCAUAAAAUCUUUAAACACAUGUUUCAUGUUUGAAAGACGCAAUUGCAUCACCUAAUGAUUGGAUCCGCGUUUUAUUAGCUAGUUGGUGAGGUAAAGCCUCACCAAGGCGAUGAUACAUACCCGACCUGAGAGGGUGAUCGGCCACAUUGGGACUGAGACACGGCCCCAACUCCUACGGGAGGCAGCAGUAGGGAAACUUCGGCAAUGGACGAAAGUCUGACCGAGCAACGCCGCGUGAGUGAAGAAGGUUUUCGGAUCGUAAAACUCUGUUGGUAGAGAAGAACGUUGGUGAGAGUGGAAAGCUCAUCAAGUGACGGUAACUACCCAGAAAGGGACGGCUAACUACGUG